UUGCCAAGAGUAGAAUUCAGAC
rnacentral:siRNA from 1 species